rnacentral:rRNA from 1 species
UACGUAGGGUGCAAGCGUUAAUCGGAAUUACUGGGCGUAAAGCGUGCGCAGGCGGCUAUGCAAGACAGAUGUGAAAUCCCCGGGCUCAACCUGGGAACUGCAUUUGUGACUGCAUGGGCUAGAGUACGGUAGAGGGGGGAUGGAAUUCCGCGUGUAGCAGUGAAAUGCGUAGAUAUGCGGAGGAACACCGAUGGCGAAGGCAAUCCCCUGGACCUGUACUGACGCUCAUGCACGAAAGACGUGGGGAGCAAACGAGGAUUAGAUACCUUGUA